AAACGGACCUGGACUUGCUUUAUUUUAUGAAAACAUUAUGGUCGUGAACAAACCUUAUAUUGCCAUAGUUACAUAUACAUCAUAGGUAAUUGAUUAAACGCCAAGAGAGUCAAAAUUUCUCAAAUCAGAAAACAUGUUAAAUAAACAAGAUCUGUAUCGAGAGCUACAAUCAUCGAUUGAAAAUGAUAAAAUGUAUUGGAUACGAAAUGAUGCAAAAAUUAGAGCGGCAGUAAAAUCCAAAAACUAUGAUGAAUUCAAGGAUUAUGUAGCUGCAGCACAUUUAUCAUCGUUAACAAGAAAGGAAA